rnacentral:rRNA from 1 species
GGCAGGCGGAAUGUGUUGUGUAGCGGUGAAAUGCAUAGAUAUGACACAGAACACCGAUUGCGAAGGCAGCUUGCUAAGCCAUUACUGACGCUGAGGCACGAAAGCGUGGGGAUCAAACAGGAUUAGAUACCCUGGUAGUCCACGCCGUAAACGAUGUUCACUCGCUGUUUGCGAUACACAGCAAGCGGCUAAGCGAAAGCAUUAAGUGAACCACCUGGGGAGUACGGCCGCAAGGCUGAAACUCAAAGGAAUUGACGGGGGCCCGCACAAGCGGAGGAACAUGUGGUUUAAUUCGAUGAUACGCGAGGAACCUUACCUGGGCUUAAACGCACGGUGCAUGAUAUAGAAAUGUUUCUUUCCUUCGGGACUCUGUGCAAGGUGCUGCAUGGUUGUCGUCAGCUCGUGCCGUGAGGUGUCGGGUUAAGUCCCAUAACGAGCGCAACCCUUAUCGUUAGUUGCCAGCGGGUAAAGCCGGGAACUCUAGCGAAACUGCCGGUGUAAACCGAGAGGAAGGUGGGGAUGACGUCAAAUCAGCACGGCCCUUAUGUCCAGGGCCACACACGUGUUACAAUGGCCGGUACAGAGGGCAGCUACCCUGCGAAGGGGUGCGAAUCUCGAAAGCCGGUCUCAGUUCGGAUCGGAGUCUGCAACUCGACUUCGUGAAGCUGGAUUCGCUAGUAAUCGCGCAUCAGCCAUGGCGCGGUGAAUACGUUCCCGGGCCUUGUACACACCGCCCGUCAAGCCAUGGAAGUUGGGGGUGCCUGAAGUCCGUAACCGCAAGGAGCGGCCUAGGGUAAAACCAGUGACUGGGGCUAAGUCGUAACAAGGUAACC